rnacentral:rRNA from 1 species
UACGAAGGGGGCGAGCGUUGUUCGGAAUUACUGGGCGUAAAGGGCGCGUAGGCGGUCAGCACAAGUCAGUUGUGAAAUCUCCGGGCUUAACUCGGAAAGGUCAACUGAUACUGUGCGACUAGAGUGCGGAAGGGGCAACUGGAAUUCUCGGUGUAGCGGUGAAAUGCGUAGAUAUCGAGAGGAACACCUGCGGCGAAGGCGGGUUGCUGGGCCGACACUGACGCUGAUGCGCGAAAGCCAGGGGAGCGAACGGG